CGAGGCGUGGGAAGGAGACGGCAGGGAACCACGUGGAAGAGUGAAACAGAGUGAACGGGACAGACAGAAAUAGAUAGACGCCAGGGAACACAGAGGGGCAGUGCCUAUCACUCGGAGAGAUCCAAUACAAUGCGAACUAUUGUACCCACGUUCGCCAUCCACUCCAAUUCCUAGGCUGGAGAUAUGCAGCUAGCUCGAUCCUGCACUUGCUGCGCACGCUGCAUACAUCUAUUGGAACGUUACACAUACCUACCAGUGUGUCUAUAGUACGACUUCCGCAAGGAUACGAAUGAGUUCAAAGUGGAACGAAUGAAGAGAUUAUUUGACAUUGUAGCCUGGCAAAUGACAUGUUUUAUAAUUCGAAUUCAUCGACUGCACAGAAAUAGCUUCCUUAAAGCUAACACUACCAAUCUGUAGUGUACUGGAUUUCCAAAGAAUCUAUAAACCCUGUAAAAUUAAAGUCAAGAAGGUGUGUGCAGGAAAUGUUUAAAAGUUUAUUUCUGUAUAUUAACAUUUGGGAAUAUUACUUGAGGAUACAUUUUAUUUCCGUUAUUUAAUUAAUACGAAAUAAAAAGGAACGUAAGUAGUGAAAGUAAAUGAAAUACAUCCCGGGGUGAUCACGCUAUCAGUUUCCAUCUUCUCCCAAACGACAAGUAUCAGGAAAAGGUGAAGAAGGAAAAGGAUGAAUAAUUCGAAGUAAACUACAUAUUCACGAUAAUAUUUUUCCCGCGAGUGCAAAUAUACAGGGUGGUUGGUAACUGGUGGUACAAGCGGAAAGGGGGUGAUUCUACGCGAAAAAAGAAGUCGAAAAUAUAAAAUAAAAAUUUUUCGUUCGAGGCUUUGUUUUCGAGAAAAUCGACUUUGAAUCUUCGCUCGGUACGCGUGCACUUUAUCGCGUCUCGUUAUAACGGAUCUCACUGUAGAUCGUUGUACCGAUGGAAAAAUUAAAAAAAAAAAAAAUUACAAAAAAAAUUUUUAUUCUAUAUUUUCGACUUCUUUUUUCACGUAGAAUCACCCCCUUUCCGCUUGUACCACCAGUUACCAACCACCCUGUAUAACAAUUAAGAAAGUAGUUUUCUGCAUAUGUUAAAAUGCUAUGACGUUAUCGAUAUUUGGUUUUUGAUCGAAUUUGCACGUGAUUAUAUCUAUGAACGUACCAUCCGUUGAAAAUUAAAGGAGAUUUUGUAUGAUACAUGUGUUUUGAAGGCGAAAGUGACCAUAUAAAUGAUCACCUGAUUGAAAAGGAACGAUGAAUAUCGUCUAUCUAUCUACAAUAGUAUCUAUUUGCAAGUAAUCGUUAAUAUUUCACAUUGGUGAAUAUGUUAAAAAUAGCAGUUGAGAUUGCGAUGGAGUACUAUAUAUUUUGCUAACACAAGAUGAAAGAAUAAAGAAAUCGGUAACAAAAAAUCUAGAAGCAUGUAUGAAAUUUGCCGUCGUACGAUCGUUUGAAUACAUUUUACGAGGGUAAAGAAACGUAAAACGUUUCUAAAAUAAAUUUAAGUUUAAGUUAGUUUAAGUGAGCAUAGGUUGCUACAAGUUAUCGUUUGGCGUCGUUUGUAAGAAAGGUAAUCGGAAACCUUGGAACCUCAUAAGCCACGCGAAUAAUCAGUAAAAUUCUAGUACUAAAAUAAAUUUUAUAUCAUUUCCAAACAAAAUCAAAGUUUAAUCAAUUCUCUAUCUUCAUUCGCUCUUACAUUAUCUGUUACAUAUUAAAUUUAAUAGAAUAACCAAUUUCGUAAACAUUGUGUUGAAAAGGAUUACCAAAUUCUGUCAGAUGUCAUUGCGGUUCAGACUAGUUGUUGUUUAUUCGAUUUAUUUAAAAUACAGGUUUGUGAGACUUGUCUGUAUAGAUAUUUACUUUAGACAGAUAUUACGUUGUCGCUGAAUACUAAUGCAUUUUCAUUCAUGACGUGAUUUCCUUCCGUGUCAGCACGUGACUAAACUGUACACUGUGCACGGUAUCCUAAAAUUUCUUGGAUUAAGUGAUGGUAUAUUCAUAGAAAUGAUAGUGAAUUUUCUGGUUAAUAACAUUCAUAACAUUUAUAUACAGCAAUAAUAUAGGUACAAUAUUAAACAAUCUGAUAUUAAACUCUUCUAUUGAAUUUCGCUAUAAUUUUUUAAAAUUAAAGUUUUAUGACCUGAAGUUUAUAUUCAUAAUUAUGUUACAUACAGUUGCAUUUUUGAUAUUAUUUGUGAUUAUUGAUAUCAGCUAUCAUUAAAAUAGAAAGGAUAAGUGCCAAAACGUUUUCUUACAAGAUUGCACUUCAGAAAGUCACGCAUACACACAUAAAUAUCGGAACACUUUAGCCGAUUUGUAACAGCGUAAUUAGUAAAAUGUAUACAUUAGUGUACAACUAAUCGUUAAAGGCAAUACUUAACAUUUUUUAAUAGAAUGAACAAAUGAUAAAAUUUAAUUGUAAUUAAUUUAAUUACAUUUAUUGUAGAACAAUA